rnacentral:rRNA from 1 species
UGCGUAGGUGGCUUGGUAAGUCAGAUGUGAAAGCCCCGGGCUUAACCUGGGAACUGCAUUUGAAACUAUUAGGCUAGAGUAUGGUAGAGGGAAGUGGAAUUUCCGGUGUAGCGGUGAAAUGCGUAGAUAUCGGAAGGAACAUCAGUGGCGAAGGCGACUUCCUGGACCAAAACUGACACUGAGGCACGAAAGCGUGGGGAGCAAACAGGAUUAGAUACCCUGGUAGUCC